CCUACGGGGGGCAGCAGUGAGGAAUAUUGGUCAAUGGACGAGAGUCUGAACCAGCCAAGUAGCGUGAAGGAUGACUGCCCUAUGGGUUGUAAACUUCUUUUAUAUGGGAAUAAAAUGUUCCACGUGUGGGAUUUUGUAUGUACCAUAUGAAUAAGGAUCGGCUAACUCCGUGCCAGCAGCCGCGGUAAUACGGAGGAUCCGAGCGUUAUCCGGAUUUAUUGGGUUUAAAGGGAGCGUAGGUGGAUUGUUAAGUCAGUUGUGAAAGUUUGCGGCUCAACCGUAAAAUUGCAGUUGAAACUGGCAGUCUUGAGUACAGUAGCGGUGGGCGGAAUUCGUGGUGUAGCGGUGAAAUGCUUAGAUAUCACGAAGAACUCCGAUUGCGAAGGCAGUUCACUGGACUGCAACUGACACUGAGGCUCGAAAGUGUGGGUAUCAAACAGGAUUAGAUACCCUUGUAGUC
rnacentral:rRNA from 1 species